AAAUAUCACAUAUAUGUUGUAUUAAUGAUCUAGUGAUAUUAUUUGGUUGAUGGGUCAAGUUUACGCCCAACACUUUUAUACUUUCAUUUUUAUUUAUUAUAUUCUUUUUGAGAUAUUUUUUCCAAACUAUUUUUUAUUUAUCAAUUUAAUAAAAAAAAACUAUAUUUUUUAUUUUUAAUUAUUUAAAAGAUCAAUCCAA
rnacentral:lncRNA from 1 species